rnacentral:lncRNA from 1 species
CCAGUGAAAGAGGGGAAGUUGCUACUGUGAUGAAUUCUGCCAUGUGGUACCAGACUGCUGCCCAGACCACAGUGUCCUCUGCAACCCUGGUCAAAGCUUCUCAGAUGACCAAGAUGGUGCUGCCGAUGGUGUUGAGGACGGAGAACCCACCAAGCCCCGUUAGGAGCCACCUAGACUGGAUGCAGAGCACAGAUUCUGGAUGUAUACAGAUGUUCCUCAUCUUAGGAAGGGGUUACAUCCCAAUAAACAUGUGGCUAAAACCUUUGAAGAGGAAUUUAUUAUAUCCUACAAACCUGGGAGGCAGAGGUUGCAGUGAGCCAAGUUCGGUCCAUUGCACUCCAGCCUGGGCAACAAGAAUGAAACUCUGUCUCAAAAAAACAAAAGUUGGCUAGGGCCAGGUGUGGUGGCUCACACCUGUAAUCCCAGCAC